rnacentral:lncRNA from 1 species
UUUUGAAUUACCCCUCAAUUUGAUGUUGCAUCUCAUGUUAUUAAUUAAGUCUGCAUAACCGCCAUUGCAAUACGUUUAAUUUAAGUGACGAUGUCAUCAUUCUACUUCCGGGUAAAAUAGAGCUUUAGCUGUAUUCAUUCUAAUUAGAUUUUACUCAUUUUAACCUGCUGUUGAGCCGACUACAAGCUCUUUCUAAGCAUCUGAUCGCAAAGAAAUAUUACAUUUACACCGGAUUUUCUUGAGUAAUGGAAUGGUAAAGUUAACUCCCAUGUGUUAUUUCUUUAGGAUGGAGCAGAGCCCCAACUUUCCACUGAGUUUCCUGAGACCGCCAUGUCCACGAACCAAGACAAAGACCCAACGCGCUCCCAAAGCAUUUCCCAGUUCAUCCUUCAGUUUGUCAAUCAGUCAUCAAAAGAAAGUGGGAAGAAGAGGAAGUACAAGCAGUUGAGAGGCAUCUGACUUCCUUCAUAACCUCCCUUACUGUUCCAAGGAAACAAGACUGCGAGAAUUGUCUAUAACUUGAAAACGAAGCACUACAAUAUAGAGAUUGCGCUGCCAUAAAAUUUUAUGUGAAAAAUCGAAUCAGAGCCCUUAAAAAGAAACAUUAAGGCAAGGUUUUUUCUGAGAUGCUUUGGGCUAUGUGCACAGUGCCCCCAUGUUAUUUCAAAUUAGCGACGGUUUCCUAUCUUUUACAUUUACGAUUUGCAGAGUCUCACACAAAUGAAGAGAUGGCUCAAGAUUUUGUAAAGGACAGCGCAUAAAAGUUAGAAUGUGACUGGAGCAGGUUAAAAAAUGAUGUAAGAUGGAACGACUUCACUGGAGGAAACCUCCAGGUUCAUAACAGUGGGUGAUUUUGUCUUAAGGCUAACCACUAACACAAAAUAAUUUAAAAUUCAAUUAAAACUAGUGCAAAGUUUUGAACGAGUCUGCGCAAAACGGGAUCAAGUAGUUAGUUUUAAAUUUUAUUGAGUUGUUUACACAUUAUACUGUCAUUAUUGAACACUAGCCUUAAGAUCGUGAGAUAAAAGCUUCUCCCUUACGACCGGGGCAAGAUUCACAUCCAACAAGCUUGUAACAAGUUGCAGUGACCAUCAGUAACUCGCUGUCCUUUACAAAUCUUGACCCAUCUCUUGAUUUGUGUGGGACCCUGCUAAUCGUGUAAGUAAAAGACGGGGGAGAAGGACGGUGUCGCUUUUUUCCAGCUGGAAAUCAUGUGGGGACAGUGUGCAGCCCAUUGAAACUUGGCUCAAUAAAUUUAGAUUUUGUUGCUGGAAAUAUAAGAAAUUUUGUGAUUUUAUGCUUAAAUUCCUUAACUUGUAAUGCAUUUUUUCUCAUGUCCGUAAUCUACAGCAUACGUUUGAAAUUGAUAUCUCUACAUUUAAGUUGAUUACCUUUUUUUACUGCAGUGUCUCGCCUUAUACAGUCCCGAUCAAAAGUUUAAGACCUUUUGCAAAAUGGUAGAAAACAAAGAAAAUCACAUUUUGCAUGGUUAGAACUUAACAAGGUUCCAAGUAGAACUUCAAUAUGCAACAACAAGAAAUGGGAGUGAGACAAAAAAGAGUAAACCUUUAAUUUUGUUCCAUAACCCUCAGUCAUAGAAUUCCUUAAAAGAUCCUUUCUUGCCGUUUCCCACCUCAGCAGUGAUGGCACGCAGCAAGAGACUGUGCUUAUGCAGCACAACCUGACCACGUUUAAACAUUGCUGUCAGGACGUCAUGAGUGUGAGUACCUGACUGAAAAUGACUUUGAAUGAACAUUUGCACAGAUUUGGUCUUUUAAAGGCAUGUGGUCCUAAACUUUUUAGCAGCUGCAAAACGGUCUUAAUUUAAUUGUUACUUCAUUUGUUGUUUUCAAUAAGAGUUAUUCUCAUUUUGUUUUGUUUGUGUCACUCAAAUUUCUUCUUGUGGAAGUUCUGAUUGGUAUCUUGAUCAGAUUCAACCAUGCAAAAUGUUGCCAUCUUUUAAUUAGAGUUAAACUUUUGAUUGGGCCUGUAUAGCAUAAAUCUCUUCUUCCCACCUUUUUUUCAAUGUGUUAAAGCAGCGUUGUUGGGACUACUCCAUUAAUGUUAUCCAACUACUGAUAAUAGAAAGGUCCUUCUACAAGUAGUCUUGUUACUUUGAUUACGUUAUUUCAAAAGGAAGGAAAGACUUCAUUUGGGACUAGGAUCGUCCAGUGUCUUGACGUGCAGCCAAUUGGAUCCUCAGUUUGGUGACAUUUUUUGGGGUCUUUCACUUGACUUUUUUGUUCCAAAAGUCAUCUGAGGACUAAUUACUACUUUGGGUUCGCCCUUUUAAGUGUUUAAUAAGUUCAAUGUGAAGCGUUUCACAGGUAAAUAACUCUCAACCACAGUAUUCUAUAGAGGUACGCCAAUCAGAUCAGUCACUGAUCAUAGCCUGUUCAGCAGAUUUGUAAAAUAUGUUGAUCAACGUGGAUUUCACAUACAUUCUUUCAAUCUAUAUUCUGGUGAAAAUUACGCAGCAUUGCACUGCUCUAAACCAUAAAUGUAUUUUUUAUUGUAAUUAGUGGUUACACAACAGCUCUGGAUGUACUGCUCUAAUUGCCGACUGUAUCCCUCCCACCUGGCGGCUCUACUUGUGACAGCAGCGGUGUGUAGUGUAACUAAUCAAAACAACCAUGGCGCGAGAGCUAGUCUGCUAUGCUUAAGACAAAAGCAUAAUGAAGGUUCAUGACCAUAAAAUAGCCAUAUAUGGACAUAUAACUCAGACAUUAAUUAGUAAUAAUAACGGACUAUAAAAAUACUAUACAAUAAACUAUAAAUAAAGAUAAAUGAUUGAAGCACCUCUAUAAUGUAUACAACAAUUUCUUGAUAGAAGUUUUCAGCUGUCAAUUGUAAUCAGUUGUUACUUGGUUACAAUGGGAUGUUUUGUUUGUAAACAAAUAUAAUUAUCCCCAACUGUUCAAAAGUUAUGAUGUGAUUCUUUCAAUUCAAAUCAAAAUUGAAUAGUGAUUACCUUCUUUGUCUAUGACUAAGUAACAUUUUUGAGAGAGCAUUUUAAGAAG